UAGCAGUGCUCUUAAUACCCUCUCCUCCUGCACCAGGAAACAAAGAGGGAAGAAAAAGUUUCUUGCCUCUUAGGCAGCUCCAGACUUUUUCCUGGACACCCUCCCAGCUAGCUGUGGCACACUAGCCCCCUUCAGACUCUGAUCACACAGCCAACAGCAGUCCUCUCCCUGGGAUAUGACCGAAGCCUGAGCCUCAGCUCCCAGCUCCCACCCGCCCUGGCAGCCUUGCAAGGUGAUUGUGUCCCAUUUGUGGAUUGGAGAAGCACAGGUAGCUGAAACCCUGAUGGCAACCCUGCCAUCUUUCUGGACAAAGGACCUCACAAGGGAGCACGGGUACGUGGGGAGUUUAUUGCCUUUUGGGAGGUCUGAGGUCUUCUGCCAGCGUUCAGUGGGUGUUCUGUAGGAGUUGUUCCACGUGUAGAUGUAUUUCUGAUGUAUCUGUGGGUAGGAAGAUGAUGCCCGCAUCUUACUCUUCUGCCAUCUUCCCAGCCUGGACAUUUUUAAAAAUUGAAGUAUAGUCAAUUUACAAUUUUUUGCUAAUUUCACGUGUAAAGCAAAAUGAUCCAGUUUUUUUGCAUAUUAUAUUCCAUUAUAGGUUAUUACAAGAUAUUGAAUAUAAAUUCCUGUGCUAUACAGUAAAUCCUUGUUACUUAUCUAUUUUAAGUAUAGUAUUCAAUAGCUUGUGUCUGUUAAUCCCAUAUUCCUAAUUUGUCCCUCUCUCCCCCUCCCCUUUGGUAACCAUAAGAUUGUUAUCUAUGCCUGUGGGUCUUCUUCUCUUUUGUAUAUAGAUUCCUUUGUAUUAUUUUUAGAUUCCUCACAUAAGUGAUAUCAUAUAGUAUUUGUCUUUCUCUGCCUGACUUACUUCACUAAGCAUAAUAUUCUCUAGGUCCAUAUAUGUUGCUGCACAUGGCAAUAUUUCAUUUUUUAUGGCUUUGUAAUAUUCUGAUGUAUAUAUCUACCACAUAUUCUUAAGUGAAUAAUCUGUUGUUGGGCACUUGUGUUGUUUCCAUGUCUUAGCUAUUGUAAAUAGUGUUGCUAUGAACAUUGGGAGAUGAAUGUAUCUUUUUGAAUUAGAAUUUUCAUUGUUUCCUAAUAUAUACCCAUGAGUGAGUUUGCUGGUUCAUAAGGUAGCUGUAUGUUUAGUUUUUUGAGGAAUCUCCAUACUGUUUUCCAUAGUGACUGAACCAUUUUACAUUCCCACCAACAGUGUAGGAUGGUUCCCUUUUUUCCACACCCUCUCCAGCAUUUAUUAUUUGUAGAUUAUUGAUGAUGGCCAUUCUGAUCGGUGUGAAGCGAUACCUCAUUGCAGUUUUGAUUCACAUUUCUCUAAUAAUUACAAAGUUGAAAUAUUUUCAUGUGCCUUUUGGCCAUCUGUAUGUCUUCUUUGGAGAAAUGUUUAUUCAGGUCUUCUGCCCAUUUUUUGAUUGGGUUUUUAAAAUAUUGAGUUGUAUGAGCUGUUUGUAUGUUUUGGCUAUUAACCCCUUGUCAGUCACAUCAUUUGCAAAUACUUUCUCCCCUUCAGUAGGUUGCCUUCAUUUUGUUGAUGGUUUCCUUUACUAUCAAAAAGCUUUUAUGUUCAACUAGGUCCCACUUGUGUAUUUUUGCUUUUGUUUCUUUUGCCUUGGGAGACUGAUCUAAGAAAAUAUUGCUACAAAAUAUUUUUUUAAACAAGAAAAUAUUGCUACAAAUUAUGUCAGAGAAUGAUUUGCCUAUGUUCCCUUCUAGGAGUUUUAUUGUUUUCUAUUGUAUAUUUAAGUCUUUAAACCAUUUUGAAUUUAUUUUUGUAUGUGGUGUAAUGAGUAUUCUAAUUUCACUGAGUUACAUGUUGCUGUCCAUCUUUCCCAACACGACAUGCUGAAAAGACUAUCUUUCUCCAUUGCAUCCUCUUGCUUCCUUUGUCAUAGAUUAAUUGACCAUAGAUGAGUAGGUUUGUUUCUGGGCUCUCUAUUCUGUUCUAUUGUUUAUUGUGCCAAUACCAUGCUGUUUGGAUUAAUGUAGCUUUGUAGUAUAGUCUGAAGUAUGGAAGGCAUAUGCCUCCAGCUUUGUUCUUCUUCCUCAGGAUUACUUUGGCAAUUCAGGAUCUUUUGUGGUUCCAUAUAAAUGUUAGGACUAAUUAUUUUAGUUCUGUGAAAAAUGUCAUGGGCCUUUUGAUAAGGAUUGCAUUAAAUCUGUAGAUUGCUUUGGGUGGCAUGGCCAUUUUAACAAUAUUAAUUUUUCUAAUGUAAGAGCAUGGGAUAUCUUUCCAUUUCUUUGAAUCAUCUUCAAUUUCUUUAUCAAUGUUAUAUAAUUUUCAGUGUAUAGGUCUUUCACCUCCUUGGCUAAGUUUCCAGGUAUUUUUUGAACAUGAUUUUAAACUGGUUGUUUUUUUACUUUAUUUUUCUAUUUCAUUAUUAGUGAGAAAAUGCAACAGAUUUCUGUAUGUUAGUCUUGUAUCCUGCUACCUUGCUGAAUUAAUUUAUUACUUCUAAUAUAGUUACUGUGUGGAGUCUUUAGGGCUCUCUAUAUAGAGUAUCAUGUCAUCUGCAAAUAGAGAGAGUUUUACCCUUUCUUUAAAGUUUGAAUAACUUCUAUUUCUUUUUCUUGUCUGAUUCUUGUGGCUAGGACUUCCAAUAUUAUGUUGAAUAAAAGUGGUGAGAGUGCACAUCCUUGUCUAGUUCCUAAUUUGGGGGGAAGUCUUUCAGCUUUUCACCAUUGAAUAUUAGUUGUCUCUGGGUUUGUUGUAAAUGAAUUUUAUUAUGAGAGAUAUGUUCCCUCUAUACCCACUUUGGUGAGAAUUUUUAUCAUGAAUGGAUGUUGAAUUUUUUUGAAUGAUUUUUCUGCAUCUAUUGAUGGUCAUGUGGUUUUUGUCUUUCCUUUCAUUGAUGGUGUGUAUCACGUUGAUUGUUUUCAUAUGUUGAACCAUCCUUGUGACCCUGGAAUGAAUCUAAUUUGAUCAUUGUGUAUGAUCCUUUUUAUGCACUGUUGAAUUUGGUUUACUAAUAUUUUGCAGAGGAUUUUUACAUCUAUAUUCAUCAAAGAUGUUGGCCUAUGUGUUUUGUUUUUUGUAAUGUCUUUAUCUUGUUUUGGUAUCAGGGUGAUGGCAACUUCGUAGAAUGAAUUUGGGAGUCUUCACUUCUCUUCAAUUUUUUUGAAGACUUUGAUAAGGAUAUGUAUAAGUUCUUUUUUGUAUGUUUGGUAGAAUUCCACAGUGAAGCUGAAGACUUGUUUUGCAGCGAGUUUUUUAAAUUACAGAUUCUAUUUCACUUUGAGUGAUUAGUCUGUUCAAAUUAUCUGUUUCUCCUUGACUCAGUUUUGGGAGGUUGUAUGUUUCUAGAAACUUGACCAUUUCUUCUAGGUUGUCCAGUUUUUUGACAUAGAAUUAAUCAUAGUAUUCUCUUAUGAUAUUUUGUAUUUCUGUGGUAUCACUUGGUAUUGCUCCUCUUUUAUUUCUUCUUUUGUUUAUUUGGGUUCUAUCUCUUUUCUUCUUGGUGAGCCUGGCUAGAGGUUUGUGAAUUUUGUGUACCUUUAAAAAACAAAAAAGCUCUUGGUAUAUUGAUCUUUCCUAGUUUUUAAUCUCUACUUUAUUUAUUACCUCUCUGACCUUUAUUGUUUCCUUCCUUCUGCUAACUAUGGGUUUUAUUUGUUCUUCUAUUUCUAAUUCUUUUAGGAGGUAGAUUAAGCUGUUUAUUUGAGAUUUUUCUUGUUUCUUGUGGAAGGCCUGUAGUGCUAUGAACUUCCCUCUUUGAAAUGUUUUGCUACAUCCCAUAGAUUUUGUAAGGUUGUGUUUUCAUUUUUAUUUGCCUUCGAGUAUUUUCUGAAUUCUUCUUUGAUUUCAUCAGUGACUCCUUUCUUUUUAGUAGCAUGUUAUUUACUCUCCAUGUGUUCGUUCUUUUCCCAUUUUCCUUCUAUAGUUGAUUUCUGGUUUCAUACUAUUGUGGUCAGAAAAGAGGCUUGAAAUAAUUUCUAUCCUCUUAAAUUUAUUGAGACUUGUUUUGCGACCUAGUAUAUGGUCUAUCCUACAGAACGUUCCAUGCAUGCUUGAAAAGAAUGCUUAUUCUGCUAUUUUUGGAUGUAGUGUCCUGUAGGUAUCAGUCAAGUCCACCUGUUCUAUUGUGUCAUUUAAGAUCUGUUCUGCCUUAUUGAUUUUCAGUCUGGAUGAUUUAUCCAUUGAUGUCAAUUGAGUGUUAAAGUCUCCUACUAUUAUUGUAUUAUUGUCAAUUUCUCCCUUUAUGUCUGUUAGCAUUUGUUUUAUAUAUUUAGGUAUUCCUGUAUUGGGCAUGUAUAUGUUAAUAUUUGUAAUAUCUUCUUCUUGAAUGGAUCCCUUUAUUAUUAUAUAAUGUCGUUCUUUGUCUGUCUUUAUGGCCUUUGUUUUAAAGUCUAUUUUGCCUGAUAUGAGUAUCAUCGUCCCUGCUUUCUUGUUGUGUCCAUUUGCAUGAAAUAUCUUUUUCCAUCCCCCUCACUUUCAGUCUGUGUGUGUCUUUUGCCCUGAAGUGAGUUUCCUGUAGGCAGCAUACUGUAGGUUCUUAAGUUUUUAUCCAACCUAGUACUCUAUGACUUUUGAUUGGAGCAUGAAAAAAAAAGUCACUAACAGAUAUUGACUAUAUUAUCUAUCUCUCUAUCUAGAUAUUUGGCUUUUCAUGUUUUUUCCUUUCUCUCCACCCCACUUCUGUCCUUUUUUUUCUUCCAGACUGUGAGGCAUGGUACUAUUUUCCUUCACAAUGUGAUGUUACUUUUGAUGGUAAUGGCUUAAAACUAGUGUAACCAUAAAAUUUAUUAUACAAACUGGAAUGCCUUUAGGUGUGUAGAGAGUCACUACUCAAAAUUAUAUCAGGAGUAUGGAUGAAAACAGGGACAAAUGGUUAACCUACUACUAUGUAAGGGUUAAACUGGCUCAUAGAACAUUUUGUACUUUUCCAUAAUAGAGCCAAAACAAAUGCAAUACUAGCCUUUCUGUUUUCCAUUUAAGCACUUCUAAGUGUGACAUUACUAUUUUAGAUAUACUAUAUUAAGAAUAUUUUUUUCAAGUCAAAACAUUUAAGUGAACUUUUAAAAAGUUUCUUUUGUUGCUUAGGUUUUUUAUUUGUUGUUUGGUUGGAUUUUUACUAAAAGUGUAAAAAAAUGUUGCUUUCUACUUAAAACUACCUCUGAAUGGAAGAAUUGGGUUUAAUCAUUUCUGAACUUGAACAGUCUGUUUCUCUGUACCACUAGAAAGAGUGGUGUGUUUAGCAAAUAUUGUUAAUGUGCCUGAAAGUCUACCUUCAAAGUCUCUACAGAGGUUUAACUGUAUAUAAGCCAAGGGUCACCCUUAGGGUUCUGGUUUUAGUCCAUCUUAUAAAACGAAGACUAUAGUGUCCUCUGUAUCCCUUUAGCAUCAUCUAAAUAAAGUUCUAACUAAUAUUCACAAAUGUUAUGUUACCUUACAUGUGAGGGCCAACCACAGGUUUAAAUGAAUACAAACUGUAACCAUGCAGGCUGCUCUUAUGCUACAAAUGUGACUGUUAAAAUUCUCUCAGUAAAGUUUCGCAGGUUUGUCCAAAGAAGUCUUUCAUGUCUUCUGUUAAAUUUAUUCCUAGGUAUUUAAUGCUAUUGAAAAUUGUACCUUUCAUUGGAAAUUUUAUAUUUUGUUUGAUCUGGUAUAUAGAGACAUAAUUUUUGUGAAUUGUUUUUUCUACCCAGCAACCUUGCUAAAAUAUGUUUAUUAAGUCCUAAAGUUUAUCUUUAGAUCCUUUUCAGUGUUCAACAUACACAAUCAUAUCAUCUUUGAAUAAUAAGUUUUGUUCCUGCCAUUUUAAACAUUAUAGCUUUUAUUUCCUUUUCUCAUUUUACAGCAUUAGGUAGACCCACCCUGUAAAAUAAUGUUGAACAGAACUGGUGAUAGUGGACAUUCUUGUUUUUCCCUGAUGAGAAAUGGAAAAUUUUCAAUAUUUCACCAUGGUGUUUACUGUGCUUUUCUUUUGGUAGACAUACUUUAUCAAAGUCAUUCUAUUCUAUUAUUAGUUUGCUUAGAGUGUUCACCUUGAUUACAUUUUGAAUUUCACCAAACACUUAAAGUGCAUUUAUUGAGAUGAUCAUAAGAUUUUUCCCUCUAUUAAUAUGUUAAUGGGUUGAAUUAAAUGGAUACGUUUCUAUGUUUAAGCCAACUUUAUAUUCCUAAAAUAAACACAGUUUGGUCAUGAGUAAUCUACGUCCUAAUAAUUUGUUUAGGAUUAUGUGUGUCCUCAUGAGUGACACUAGCCUUACUUUUAUUUCAUAUACUCUCUUUGACUUUGGUAUCAAGGUUAUGCUAGCUUCAUACAAUGAGCUGGGAUGUAAAACCUCUUCUUCCAUUCUCUAGAGCUUCAAGGCUGUGCGUAAUGUAGGGCCAGGCUCUCCUGUGAUCAGCUGUUUCUGAAUUGCCUUUCUCUUUGAAGACUGGAUUUUACUUAAAAGGUAGAGACAGAAGGGGCAGCUCCAGGUUUCCAUCCCUUCAAACUUUUUGAGGUGCCCAUCUUCCCUGCAAGAUACCUCUAAUGAUGCUGUCACUCUGAAAGCUACCUGCUCCUGUUCCUAUGCUGAUACCAAUCUCCUCUACACACAAAGUUAAAAGUCACGGCUCUGUUAACUUGCCUAGAUGAUUUUGAUCUGUCCUGUAUGGUCACGAAUGGCUGACCAACCCUGGAGCUGUGUACAAUUAUGACCAUAGCUUCAUUUAUUGAGUUCUUUUAUCUAACAAUAAUAGGAUUUACUAAAAACUCUCAUUUAUAGAGUAUGUACUGUUAGCCAUUUUUGUGUGCUAGAUUCUGUACAUAUACAACCUCAUCAGAUGCUCACAAAGGAAGUCAGAGUUUUCACAAAAUUAAGAAUCUCUGACUCCAGUAAAAGGCAGAUUGGGGGUUCGCAUUCUAAGUUCAAAACCCUUGCUCUUUUCUCAGAGUAAAAGCUCCUGAAGUGUUGAGUACAGAACUGAUGGUGUAUAUGAUGACUUCAGUGAUAAUCUGAAGUUUUUAUAAGAUUUAAUUUAAAUUAAAAAAAUAUAAAAUUGUUUGACUUAAAAGGCUUUGUUCUUCUCUUGAAGGAAGGGUUUCCCAAUAUGUAAAACACAGACCACAUACAUACUGCACAUGAAGUGUUGUCCCAGAUGGUAUUCCAGACGAAAUCAUUGAUAUUAAAAACAAACAUCUAAAAAUAGUAACAUGCUUAUCUUAUAGUGCUACAGAAAAAUAUAACUAGAACACUAAACCAUUUGGGGACAGUUUGUGGAGAGACAGAGAAAAAAACUUACGGCACAAGCCUCAUGGCAAAAUGCCACAACAUCCCCUGCAAACACGCCUAUCCUUCCAAGUUAUUCAGAGGUGGGGAAGGAGCAGCCACAAAUCUCUUUAUUUCCUCUGCAAAAUCCUCCACUGACCUGACAGUCACAGAUCACACUCAGAAGCCCCCAACUGCCUGAUUCCAGCCUUAUACCCCUAUUAAUAUAUACGAGAGCAAGUUACAUUUCUGAGCUCGCAUUUUUAUCUUAACACCCCAAAAAACAGUUCUGAAGAAAAAACCCUGCUCAGAAUCCAUUCUGCUUAAGGAAUAAUAAAUGCAAUUAUUUCUCCCUCUUAAUACAGGUUUAAAGAUAUUUCCUCACCCAAAAGGACUGAAAAUCUAUGGUUCAAAUAA